rnacentral:rRNA from 1 species
AGCACUCCUACGGGAGGCAGCAGUGGGGAAUAUUGCACAAUGGGCGCAAGCCUGAUGCAGCCAUGCCGCGUGUAUGAAGAAGGCCUUCGGGUUGUAAAGUACUUUCAGCAGUGAGGAAGGUGGGUAUGUUAAUAGCAUAUUCAUUUGACGUUUAGCUGCAGAAGAAGCACCGGCUAACUCCGUGCCAGCAGCCGCGGUAAUACGGAGGGUGCGAGCGUUAAUCGGAAUUACUGGGCGUAAAGCGCAUGCAGGUGGUUGUUAAGUCAGAUGUGAAAGCCCGGGGCUCAACCUCGGAAUUGCAUUUGAAACUGGCAAACUAGAGUACUGUAGAGGGGGUAGAAUUUCAGGUGUAGCGGUGAAAAUGCGUAGAGAUCUGAAGGAAUACCGGUGGCGAAGGCGGCCCCCUGGACAGAUACUGACACUCAGAUGCGAAAGCGUGGGGAGCAAACAGGAUUAGAUACCCUGGUAG